rnacentral:rRNA from 1 species
AUACGUAGGGGGCGAGCGUUGUCCGGAAUGAUUGGGCGUAAAGGGCGCGUAGGCGGCGCGGUAAGUCUGGAGUGAAAGUCCUGCUUUCAAGGUGGGAACUGCUUUUGAUACUGCCGCGCUUGAGUGCAGGAGAGGUUAUCGGAAUUCCCGGUGUAGCGGUGAAAUGCGUAGAGAUCGGGAAGAACACCAGUGGCGAAGGCGGGUAACUGGACUGCAACUGACGCUGAGGCGCGAAAGUGUGGGGAGCAAACAGGAUUAGAUACCCUGGUAGUCCACACUGUAAACGAUGAGUACUAGGUGUAGGGGGUAUCGACUCCCUCUGUGCCGCAGUUAACACAAUAAGUAUUCCGCCUGGGGAGUACGGCCGCAAGGUUGAAACUCAAAGGAAUUGACGGGG